rnacentral:sRNA from 1 species
ACUUUGCACGCCGCCCAGGGCUACACCACUCACCGAAAAUUGGGAGGCAGGUGCUGGAGAAUCUGGUAAAAGCACCAUUGUGAAGCAGAUGAGGAUCCUGCAUGUUAAUGGGUUUAAUGGAGACAGUGAGAAGGCAACCAAAGUGCAGGACAUCAAAAACAACCUGAAAGAGGCGAUUGAAACCAUUGUGGCCGCCAUGAGCAACCUGGUGCCCCCCGUGGAGCUGGCCAACCCCGAGAACCAGUUCAGAGUGGACUACAUUCUGAGUGUGAUGAACGUGCCUGACUUUGACUUCCCUCCCGAAUUCUAUGAGCAUGCCAAGGCUCUGUGGGAGGAUGAAGGAGUGCGUGCCUGCUAUGAACGCUCCAACGAGUACCAGCUGAUUGACUGUGCCCAGUACUUCCUGGACAAGAUCGACGUGAUCAAGCAGGCUGACUACGUGCCGAGCGAUCAGGACCUGCUUCGCUGCCGUGUCCUGACUUCUGGAAUCUUUGAGACCAAGUUCCAGGUGGACAAAGUCAACUUCCACAUGUUUGACGUGGGUGGCCAGCGCGAUGAACGCCGCAAGUGGAUCCAGUGCUUC